rnacentral:rRNA from 1 species
GGGUCAGUAAGUUGGUCAUGCCACUAGUAUGUACUGGUCUCACUGAUUCCUCCUUCCUGAUGAGCCGUAAUGCCAUUAAUUUGGUGUUGCGGGGAAUCUGGACUGUUACUUUGAAAAAAUUAGAGUGCUUAAAGCAAGCUAACGCUUGAAUACAUUAGCAUGGAAUAAUGAAAUAGGACGUUCGAUCCUAUUUUGUCGGUUUCUAGGAUUGACGUA